rnacentral:rRNA from 1 species
UGGGGGAUAUUGCACAAUGGGGGAAACCCUGAUGCAGCGACGCCGCGUGGAGGAAGACGGUUUUCGGAUUGUAAACUCCUGUCUCCGGGGACGAUAAUGACGGUACCCGGGGAGGAAGCACCGGCUAACUACGUGCCAGCAGCCGCGGUAAUACGUAGGGUGCAAGCGUUGUCCGGAUUUACUGGGUGUAAAGGGAGCGUAGGCGGGGUUGUAAGUUGGAUGUGAAAUGCGGGAGCUUAACUUCCGAACGGCAUUGGAUACUGCUUUGCUAGAGCAAUGGAGGGGAAACCGGAAUUCUCGGUGUAGCAGUGAAAUGCGUAGAUAUCGAGAGGAACACUCGUGGCGAAGGCGGGUUUCUGGACAUUAGCUGACGCUGAGGUACGAAGGCCAGGGUAGCGAAAG